AAGUAAAUAGUUUAACGGUGAAAACGCCGAGUCAGAACGGAUUGAACACUCGGAGCUUAUGGGUUCGAAUCCCAUUUUACUUU
rnacentral:tRNA from 1 species